rnacentral:rRNA from 1 species
CAGUCGACGAACUCUGGUAUUGAUUGGUGCUUGCAUCAUGAUUUACAUUUGAGUGAGUGGCGAACUGGUGAGUAACACGUGGGAAACCUGCCCAGAAGCGGGGGAUAACACCUGGAAACAGAUGCUAAUACCGCAUAACAACUUGGACCGCAUGGUCCGAGUUUGAAAGAUGGCUUCGGCUAUCACUUUUGGAUGGUCCCGCGGCGUAUUAGCUAGAUGGUGGGGUAACGGCUCACCAUGGCAAUGAUACGUAGCCGACCUGAGAGGGUAAUCGGCCACAUUGGGACUGAGACACGGCCCAAACUCCUACGGGAGGCAGCAGUAGGGAAUCUUCCACAAUGGACGAAAGUCUGAUGGAGCAACGCCGCGUGAGUGAAGAAGGGUUUCGGCUCGUAAAACUCUGUUGUUAAAGAAGAACAUAUCUGAGAGUAACUGUUCAGGUAUUGACGGUAUUUAACCAGAAAGCCACGGCUAACUACGUGCCAGCAGCCGCGGUAAUACGUAGGUGGCAAGCGUUGUCCGGAUUUAUUGGGCGUAAAGCGAGCGCAGGCGGUUUUUUAAGUCUGAUGUGAAAGCCUUCGGCUCAACCGAAGAAGUGCAUCGGAAACUGGGAAACUUGAGUGCAGAAGAGGACAGUGGAACUCCAUGUGUAGCGGUGAAAUGCGUAGAUAUAUGGAAGAACACCAGUGGCGAAGGCGGCUGUCUGGUCUGUAACUGACGCUGAGGCUCGAAAGUAUGGGUAGCAAACAGGAUUAGAUACCCUGGUAGUCCAUACCGUAAACGAUGAAUGCUAAGUGUUGGAGGGUUUCCGCCCUUCAGUGCUGCA